GACUUUCCUGAAGACCAAGCUGCCAUCUCCAGGCCUCAGCUAAGCAGCCUGCCUGAGAGCAAGGUUCUCUCAGCUCUCCUAGGACACGGGGGAGGCCCACUCACUCUGUUUCCUAGGACACACAGCUACACCUAAGGUCCAGCUCUGAAGCGAGAUACUCUAGACAGCAAAUGGAAAGGGUAUUUAUACUCAUCAUGUAUCCAAUCAUGAUCCAGGCAUCGCAGCUGAGUCUGGUGCUUAUUCCUUAUGUUUAUAACAAUAUAAGCAAUACGGUAAUUCCCACUCAAUCACUAGCCUAGAUAUGCAGUUGCUCAUUCUCUCCCUCUGCCCUGAAUUUUUCUCUCUCCUUUCUUACUUCCUUGCUUGCUUGAUUUUUCUCUCCCUUUCUCCUUUCCUUCCUGCCUCGUUCCCUUUCUUCAUUCCAUCAAUUCUCCUUCCUUUUUUUCCUUCUUUCCUUCCUUUCUUAUUUUUUUUUUUGGGGGGGGGUACAUAAUCAGAAUACUUCUUCCACAUAGUCAUUCAAAUAAUUUUUCUCUAUUUGUUCAUGCCCACAUUGAUAUAGCUAGUGUAAUUGUUCAGUUUUCAUUUUUAUAUUUUAGGUAUUUGCUAUAUUAUUUUCUGUUUCAUACUUGGCUUGUAUACAUAAAACGUUACAUGGAACUGAAGUCAAAAUUAUAAAAGGAGAUGCAUUUGAAGCUUUUAGCUUCCAUUCUAGAUUUCUCAUUCCUCUUUGCUCCCUGACACUAGAGGUAAAAAUACUUUUAUCAGUUUACUUGAACUUUUUCAUUCUGUCAUAGUGCCAUAUGUAUUGUUUCUUUUUCAAUGCCAUAUUUAUAUUUUCAUUCUUAUAUUGGGUUUUUAUACAUUUAAAGAAUCUUUUAUUUUCCUGUCUCUGGAUUUUGUGUUUCUAAAGGUGCACAUACUUCCUAAGUUUGCAUAAAGAAGUCCAUAGCAUUUAUUUGAAUGUUUUUAUGCAUUGAUUAUUUAAUCAUGGCAUGACUGAUCUUUCAGGAUUUUUAUACAAGAAUUACUAUAUUAAUAAUAUUAAUACUGGCCAGGCCCGGUGGCUCAUGCCUGGAACCCCAGCAAUGCGGUAGUGGAGUCCUUAGGAUCACUUGAGGCCAGGAGAUUGACACCAGCUUAGCCAAAGUGGUGAAACCCUGUCUCUACUAAAAAUAUAGGAAAUUAGCUGACUGUAGUGGCACACACAUGUAAUCCCAUCCACUUUGGAUGCUGAGGCAGGAGAAUCUCCUGAGCCUGGAUGCUGGAGGUGUCAGUGAGCUAAGAUAACAUUACUGUACUCCAGUUAGGGCAACAGAGCAAGACUAUGUCUCAAAACA